CAAACAGGAUUAGAUACCCUGGUAGUCCACGCUGUAAACGAUGAAUACUAGGUGUGCGGGGACUGACCCCCUGCGUGCCGCAGUUAACACAAUAAGUAUUCCACCUGGGGAGUACGAUCGCAAGGUUGAAACUCAAAGGAAUUGACGGGGGCCCGCACAAGCGGUGGAUUAUGUGGUUUAAUUCGAAGCAACGCGAAGAACCUUACCAGGGCUUGACAUCCUACUAACGAAGUAGAGAUACAUUAGGUGCCCUUCGGGGAAAGUAGAGACAGGUGGUGCAUGGUUGUCGUCAGCUCGUGUCGUGAGAUGUUGGGUUAAGUCCCGCAACGAGCGCAACCCCUAUCUUUAGUAGCCAGCAUUUCAGGUGGGCACUCUAGAGAGACUGCCAGGGAUAACCUGGAGGAAGGUGGGGACGACGUCAAAUCAUCAUGCCCCUUAUGACCAGGGCUACACACGUGCUACAAUGGCGUAAACAGAGGGAAGCAGCCUCGUGAGAGUGAGCAAAUCCCAAAAAUAACGUCUCAGUUCGGAUUGUAGUCUGCAACUCGACUACAUGAAGCUGGAAUCGCUAGUAAUCGCGAAUCAGAAUGUCGCGGUGAAUACGUUCCCGGGUCUUGUACACACCGCCCGUCACACCAUGGGAGUCAGUAACGCCCGAAGUCAGUGACCUAACCGCAAGGGAGGAGCUGCCGAAGGCGGGACCGAUGACUGGGGUGAAGUCGUAACAAGGUAGCCGUAUCGGAAGGUGCGGCUG
rnacentral:rRNA from 1 species